rfam:Thioclava indica strain DT23-4 contig5, whole genome shotgun sequence.
CGGUUACUGCUCGAUGCGUGAUAGACCCUUUUCCAGUGGCCUAUACCAUUCCUGAGGGGGCUGGCUCUGUCGUGGCCCUGGCCUCGUUAACUGGCACCCACCUGACUUUUCAGGUCUCCGGGAACUCUCGUCUCCACGGUUGCUGCGGUUUCCGU